AUUGAACGCUGGCGGCAGGCCUAACACAUGCAAGUCGAACGAGUGGCGGACGGGUGAGUAAUGUCUGGGCAACUGCCCGAUGGAGGGGGAUAACUACUGGAAACAGUAGCUAAUACCGCAUACCAUCGGAUGUGCCCAGAUGGGAUUAGCUAGUAGGUGGGGUAACGGCUCACCAAGGCGACGAUCCGUAGCUGGUCUGAGAGGAUGACCAGCCACACUGGAACUGAGACACGGUCCAGACUCCUACGGGAGGCAGCAGUGGGGAAUAUUGGACAAUGGGCGAAAGCCUGAUGCAGCCAUGCCGCGUGUAUGAAGAAGGCCUUCGGGUUGUAAAGUACUUUAAGUGGGGAGGCGUUACUCGCAGAAGAAGCACCGGCUAACUCCGUGCCAGCCGCCGCGGUAAUUC
rnacentral:rRNA from 1 species